rnacentral:rRNA from 1 species
UACGAAGGGGGCUAGCGUUGCUCGGAAUCACUGGGCGUAAAGGGUGCGUAGGCGGGUCUUUAAGUCAGGGGUGAAAUCCUGGAGCUCAACUCCAGAACUGCCUUUGAUACUGAGGAUCUUGAGUUCGGGAGAGGUGAGUGGAACUGCGAGUGUAGAGGUGAAAUUCGUAGAUAUUCGCAAGAACACCCAGUGGCGAAGGCGGCUCACUGGCCCGAUACUGACGCUGAGGCACGAAAGCGUGGGGAGCAACAGG